UACGCGAUGCCGAAUUCGGGUCGCGCAAUGAUUUACUUGCUGAUACUCAGGAGUUUAUGACCAUGACU
rnacentral:sRNA from 18 species